rnacentral:rRNA from 1 species
AUUGAACGCUGGCGGCAUGCCUAACACAUGCAAGUCGAACGGGGGCAGCAAUGCCUUAGUGGCGGACGGGUGAGGAACGCGUAGGAAUUGGCCCACGAGUGGGGGACAACCUGGGGAAACCCAGGCUAAUACCGCAUACGCUCGCGAGAGGAAAGCGGGGGACCUUCGGGCCUCGCGCUGGUGGACAAGCCUACGUCCGAUUAGCUAGUUGGUAGGGUAAAAGCCUACCAAGGCGACGAUCGGUAGCUGGUCUGAGAGGAUGAUCAGCCACACUGGGACUGAGACACGGCCCAGACUCCUACGGGAGGCAGCAGUGGGGAAUAUUGGACAAUGGGCGCAAGCCUGAUCCAGCAAUGCCGCGUGGGUGAAGAAGGCCUGCGGGUUGUAAAGCCUUUCGAUGGGAAGAAAAGACCUGGAGCUAAUACCUCCGGGUCUUGACGUUACCCAGAGAAGAAGCACCGGCUAACUCCGUGCCAGCAGCCGCGGUAA